CUAGAAACCCAGGGCUGUUCUGUUGUUGCUGAUGCUGCGGUGGCGGAGGAUAUUGCGGCGCAUACGGCGGAGGAUAUCCUUGCUGAGGAUAACCCUGCGGUGGGUAGCCUUGCUGCGGAUAUCCCGGAGGAGGAUAUCCUUGCGGUGGAUAAGCAUCCUUUGGAUAUCCCUCCGGCGGAUAACCUUUAAUUUCCGAUCAUAUAACAUGCAAUGAUUCAGAUCAACCGCAAAAUUCAGCACAUAGCUAACCAGAUCUAAGAAAUACGAAUCGAAACUCGGAGAUUCAAAAUUGCGAGAAAACUAACCUUGAGGAGGAGGAACACCGACGGGAGGUUGAUUGUACUGACUCAUUGCUGUUUGUUUUUGGGAUCUCCUGCGAAACGUGAAACUCGAGAAGAGA
rnacentral:lncRNA from 1 species